GACGAACGCUGGCGGCGUGCCUAACACAUGCAGGUCGAGCGAGAGACUUCGGUCUCUAGCGGCGGACGGGUGAGUAACACGUGGGUAACCUGCCUCAUAGUGGGGGAUAGCCUUCCGAAAGGAAGAUUAAUACCGCAUAUACUCUCGAUACCACAUGGUAUUUAGAGGAAAGGAGCAAUCCGCUAUGAGAUGGACCCGCGGCGCAUUAGCUAGUUGGUGAGGUAACGGCUCACCUAGGCGACGAUGCGUAGCCGACCUGAGAGGGUGAUCGGCCACAUUGGAACUGAGACACGGUCCAGACUCCUACGGGAGGCAGCAGUGGGGAAUAUUGCACAAUGGGCGAAAGCCUGAUGCAGCAACGCCGCGUGAGUGAUGACGGCCUUCGGGUUGUAAAGCUCUGUCUUUUGGGACGAUAAUGACGGUACCAAAGGAGGAAGCCACGGCUAACUACGUGCCAGCCGCCGCAGUAA
rnacentral:rRNA from 1 species